UACAGAGGUCCCGAGCGUUGUUCGGAUUUAUUGGGCGUAAAGGGUGCGUAGGCGGCGGAGUAAGUUGGGUGUGAAAUCCCGGGGCUUAACCUCGGAAUUGCAUUCAAUACUGCUUCGCUCGAGUACUGGAGAGGAGGCUGGAAUUUACGGUGUAGCAGUGAAAUGCGUAGAUGUCGUAAGGAAGGCCGGUGGCGAAAGCGAGCCUCUGGACAGUUACUGACGCUGAUGCACGAAGGCCAGGGGAGCAAACGGG
rnacentral:rRNA from 1 species